UACGGAGGGUGCAAGCGUUAUCCGGAAUCAUUGGGUUUAAAGGGUCCGCAGGCGGACUUAUAAGUCAGUGGUGAAAUCUCACAGCUCAACUGUGAAACUGCCAUUGAUACUGUAAGUCUUGAAUUCGGUCGAAGUGGGCGGAAUGUGACAUGUAGCGGUGAAAUGCUUAGAUAUGUCCCAGAACACCGAUAGCGAAGGCAGCUCACUAGGCCUGGAUUGACGCUCAGGGACGAAAGCGUGGGGAGCAAACAGG
rnacentral:rRNA from 1 species